ACAGGCAGAGGAUGACAGCCUCCUCGCCAGGGAACCUGGGUAGAUGCCUGGACCCAGAUGAGAGACCCAGGCCAAGCCAAGCCCUCAGGGAGCAGAGGGAGUUUGGGGAAGUGCUUGUGGAGGGGAAAUAGGAUUUGGGGCCUAUGAUUCCAGGGUCAGUGGGAGACACCAGAGAGGACUCUGACAAGAGCUGGAGGGCUGGACAGAGUUCGUCAGGCUCCCGGCUCAUGCACACUUAUUUUCUUCCUCUUUCUGUUAAUGACAAAAUAAAACAUACUAAUGGUAAACAUUUCAAACAGCAGUGAAUAAAAAGACAAAAAUGGAAGCUCCCCCCUCACAAUUUCCCCGUGGCCAGUGUGAAUAGUUUAGUGUUUAUCCUUCCAGACGUUUACCUAUGAACCUACAAACAAGCAAGAAAACUGAAACUCGCAGAAAGAAAAUGACUGACUCAAGAUCACAUGACCCAGGUUGGGAAUGCCGUGUCCCAGAGAGGAAGGAGAGCUCAAGGAAGAAUUGCUAGGGGGGCACCUUGAAGAGGUAAAAAGAGCCACAAGUGUGGUACAGCAGAGUCUGGAUUCCCUUCAGGACUAUGAGAACUAUGUCUCAGGCAUUGGACUGGUCGCUGGGAAUAUAGCCCAUGGGAAUAUGACCUAGACCUUGGAAAUUCACAGACUUGUUGGAUGUUGCUGAAAUAGAAAGUGGGAUGCAAGUCUCAGGACUUAUUAUUAGUAGAACAGGCACACUCUACUUUGGGAAGCAAAGUAGAGCCAGGGGUAUAAGGCUGGCUCAGGCAGUAAGGGGGAGAAACGAUGGAACCACAGGCAAAUGCCCUACUUCCUCUUUAAAAACCUCAAAAGUUUCAACCCACAACCAUGGCCACCUCCAACCUUGAGGCCAACCAGCUGAGCUCCAGGCUGGCUCAGUUCAUGGGUCCUGGAGCUCUGUUGCCUGGAUACUUUAGAAGGACAGCAGGAAAUGGAACAACUGAAUUCCACCUAUAUGUCCACUAUCAGAGGAAUUAUGUGCAUCCAUGCAACAAAAUACUGUGCAGCCAGGAAAAAGCAAGGGGUACAUUUACUGAGUGACUCCUACAUGCUAAGCCUCUUGACAAUCAUCUCAUUUAAUCUUCCUCAAAAUCUUUCAAGCUGUCAGAGCCGCUGUGGGUGCUGGAAGGUGUGGAGGCUUCAGAAGGGGGCUGUGGUAGACAGGAG